AGAGUUUGAUCCUGGCUCAGAAUGAACGCUGGCGGCAUGCCUAACACAUGCAAGUCGAACGAAGCCUUCGGGCUUAGUGGCGCACGGGUGCGUAACGCGUGGGAAUCUGCCCUUGGGUUCGGAAUAACAGUUAGAAAUGACUGCUAAUACCGAAUGAUGUCGUAAGACCAAAGAUUAUCGCCAGGGAUGAGCCCGCGUAGGAUUAGCUAGUUGAUGUGGUAAAGGCGCACCAAGGCGACGAUCCUUAGCUGGUCUGAGAGGAUGAUCAGCCACACUGGAACUGAGACACGGCCCAGACUCCUACGGGAGGCAGCAGUGGGGAAUAUUGGACAAUGGGCGAAAGCCUGAUCCAGCAAUGCCGCGUGAGUGAUGGAGGCCUUAGGGUUGUAAAGCUCUUUUACCCGGGAUGAUAAUGACAGUACCGGGAGAAUAAGCUCCGGCUAACUCCGUG
rnacentral:rRNA from 1 species